rnacentral:rRNA from 1 species
AACGCAGCGAAGGGCGAUAAGUAAUGUGAAUUGCAGAAUUCAGUGAAUCAUCGAAUCUUUGAACGCACCUUGCGCCCUUUGGUAAUCCGAGGGGCAUGCCUGUUUGAGUGUCUUGAAGCUCUCAAACGUUUACUUAAUUGUUAAAACGUUUGGAUUUGGAUGUCCUUUUUGCCGGUCGCAAGAUUGGCUCACCCUAAAUGCAUUAGCUGGCUUUUGGGUCCGCGAACUCGGUGUGAUAAUUGUCACUCGCUGAGGUUUCGUAGACUUGCUAUGGAAGCUGCUUACAAUCGUCUUUUCGGAGACAAUUCAUCUGAGUGUUUGACCUCAAAUCAGGUAGGACUACCCGCUGAACUUAA